rnacentral:rRNA from 1 species
GAUGAACGCUGGCGGCGUGCCUAAUACAUGCAAGUCGAGCGAACGGACGAGAAGCUUGCUUCUCUGAUGUUAGCGGCGGACGGGUGAGUAACACGUGGAUAACCUACCUAUAAGACUGGGAUAACUUCGGGAAACCGGAGCUAAUACCGGAUAAUAUUUUGAACCGCAUGGUUCAAAAGUGAAAGACGGUCUUGCUGUCACUUAUAGAUGGAUCCGCGCUGCAUUAGCUAGUUGGUAAGGUAACGGCUUACCAAGGCAACGAUGCAUAGCCGACCUGAGAGGGUGAUCGGCCACACUGGAACUGAGACACGGUCCAGACUCCUACGGGAGGCAGCAGUAGGGAAUCUUCCGCAAUGGGCGAAAGCCUGACGGAGCAACGCCGCGUGAGUGAUGAAGGUCUUCGGAUCGUAAAACUCUGUUAUUAGGGAAGAACAUAUGUGUAAGUAACUGUGCACAUCUUGACGGUACCUAAUCAGAAAGCCACGGCUAACUACGUGCCAGCAGCCGCGGUAAUACGUAGGUGGCAAGCGUUAUCCGGAAUUAUUGGGCGGUAAGCGCGCGUAGGCGGUUUUUUAAGUCUGAUGUGAAAGCCCACGGCUCAACCGUGGAGGGUCAUUGGAAACUGGAAAACUUGAGUGCAGAAGAGGAAAGUGGAAUUCCAUGUGUAGCGGUGAAAUGCGCAGAGAUAUGGAGGAACACCAGUGGCGAAGGCGACUUUCUGGUCUGUAACUGACGCUGAUGUGCGAAAGCGUGGGGAUCAAACAGGAUUAGAUACCCUGGUAGUCCACGCCGUAAACGAUGAGUGCUAAGUGUUAGGGGGUUUCCGCCCCUUAGUGCUGCAGCUAACGCAUUAAGCACUCCGCCUGGGGAGUACGACCGCAAGGUUGAAACUCAAAGGAAUUGACGGGGACCCGCACAAGCGGUGGAGCAUGUGGUUUAAUUCGAAGCAACGCGAAGAACCUUACCAAAUCUUGACAUCCUUUGACAACUCUAGAGAUAGAGCCUUCCCCUUCGGGGGACAAAGUGACAGGUGGUGCAUGGUUGUCGUCAGCUCGUGUCGUGAGAUGUUGGGUUAAGUCCCGCAACGAGCGCAACCCUUAAGCUUAGUUGCCAUCAUUAAGUUGGGCACUCUAAGUUGACUGCCGGUGACAAACCGGAGGAAGGUGGGGAUGACGUCAAAUCAUCAUGCCCCUUAUGAUUUGGGCUACACACGUGCUACAAUGGACAAUACAAAGGGCAGCGAAACCGCGAGGUCAAGCAAAUCCCAUAAAGUUGUUCUCAGUUCGGAUUGUAGUCUGCAACUCGACUACAUGAAGCUGGAAUCGCUAGUAAUCGUAGAUCAGCAUGCUACGGUGAAUACGUUCCCGGGUCU